CUUAAAUGAAUUGACGGGGCCCGCACAAGCGGUGGAGUAUGUGGUUUAAUUCGAUGCAACGCGAAGAACCUUACCAGGACUUGACAUCUCUGGAAUCUCCUUGAAAGGGGAGAGUGCCGUAAGGAACCAGAAGACAGGUGCUGCAUGGCUGUCGUCAGCUCGUGUCGUGAGAUGUUGGGUUAAGUCCCGCAACGAGCGCAACCCUCGUCGUUAGUUGCCAUCAUUAAGUUGGGAACUCUAGCGAGACUGCCGGUGACAACCGGAGGAAGGUGAGGAUGACGUCAAGUCAGCAUGGCCCUUACGUCCUGGGCGACACACGUACUACAAUGCGAGGGACAGAGAGCAGCCAACCCGCGAGGGAGAGCGAACCUCUUAAACCCUGGCACAGUUCAGAUUGCAGGCUGCAACUCGCCUGCAUGAAGGAGGAAUCGCUAGUAAUCGCAGGUCAGCAUACUGCGGUGAAUCCGUUCCCGGGCCUU
rnacentral:rRNA from 1 species